GAGAGAGAGAGAGAGAGAGAGAGAGAGAGAGAGAGAGAGAGAGAGAGAGAGAGAGAGAGAGAGAGAGAGAAAGAAAUAUGGCUGUUUUUCCUGUUUAACAAUCCCUACUCUAAACAAUUCCAGGAGGAAAGUGUGAGUCUCCAAGUUGGAUUUUGGACACAGAUUUAUGCCCCUAUCCCAGCCAGGGACAAUCACCCAACCAUCAUAUUCACUAAUAUGCUGCACCAAGUCAUAGAGAAAUGUGCAUUAUAAGUGUAAAGCCAAAUUCAAACCACUCAGACAUGUUCCAUACAUAACUGCAAUUACAAGAGCAUGUGUACAACUGGGGCAGAAUAUUUAAGUGUGAUCUGUAUGCUGAUUGGAAUACAUGCUAUUAUCUUAGAGGACAAUAAUAUACACAGAUGUUUGAUUUUAUGGUUACUGCAUAUAGUAUGUCCCCAAGGAAGCAUAUCUGAACUACAGGUAUUGGGAGGAAGACAAAAACCUCAACAGCUUCUUUGACCAAAAUGGAAACAUAUUGUUAAAAUGGUCUGUAAUAAGGAGAGCAAAUCUGUAUGGCAACACAUCCUGUCUGGACUUUACUUGGGCAGUGGCACACUAUCUCUGUGAUGUGUGUUAUGUAGUCUGGGAUUUAGGAGAAACCAAUUAGAAACUCAACGCAUACUUAUAGUUAACAUAAGUGUUGUUGAAUAUUAAAUAUAUACCGUUGAAGUGGGGAAGUUUACAUACACUUAGGUUGGAGUCAUUAAAACUUGUUUUUCAACCACUCCACACAUGUCUUGUUAACAAACUAUGGUUUUGGCAAGUUGGUUAGGACAUCUACUUUGUGCAUGAAACAAGUACUUUUUUCAACAAUUGUUUAUAGACAGAUUAUUUCACUUAUAAUUCACUGCAUCACAAUUCCAGUGGGUCAGAAGUUUACAUACACUAAGAUUACUGUGCCUUUAAACAGCUUGGAAAAUUCCCCAAAAUUAUGUCAUGGCUUUAGAAGCUUCUGAUAGGCUAAUUUACAUUAUUUGAGUCAAUUGGAGGUGAAACUGUGGAUGUAUUUCAAGGCCUACCUUCAAACUCAGUGCCUCUGCUUGACGUCAUGGGAAAAUCAGAAGAAAUCAGCCAAGACCCCAGAAUUUUUUUUAAAGGCAAUGCUACCAAAUACUAAUGGAGUAUGUCAACUUCUGACCCACUGGGAAUGUGAUGUAAUAAAUAAAAGCUUAAAUAAAUCAUUCUCUCUAUGAUUAUUCUAACAUUUCACAUUCUUAAAAUAAAGUGGUGAUCCUAACGGACCUAAAACAAGGAUUUUUUUUACUAGGAUUAAAUGUCAGGAAUUGUGAAAAACUGAGUUUAAAUGUAUUUGGUUAAGGUGUAUGUAAACUUCCGACUUCAACUGUAAUUACAUACAGAUAAAGGUAGGGUUGAAGCCGCCCUUCGUAAAACAUGUUUGUCAUGAAAAAAAUCACAUCAUCACAUAAAAGCAGGUCUGGUUGAGCAAGCAUAAAUUAAUAGCAUCUGGGGAUGUUACAGCAGUAUGAUGUUAUAGGAGUAGGAUGUUACAGCAGUAUGAUGUUAUAGGAGUAGGAUGUUAUAGGGCCAGGUGUUAUAGGAGUAGGAUGUUAUAGGGCCAGGUGUUAUAGGAGUAGGGUGUUAUAGGGCCAGGUGUUACAGCAGUAUGAUGUUAUAGGAGUAGGAUGUUAUAGGGCCAGGUGUUAUAGGAGUAGGAUGUUAUAGCAGUAUGAUGUUAUAGGAGUAGGAUGUUAUAGCAGUAUGAUGUUAUAGGAGUAGGAUGUUACAGCAGUAUGAUGUUAUAGGAGUAGGAUGUUAUAGCAGUAUGAUGUUAUAGGAGUAGGAUAUUAUAGCAGUAUGAUGUUAUAGCAGUAUGAUGUUAUAGGAGUAGGAUGUUAUAGCAGUAUGAUGUAAUAGGAGUAGGGUGUUAUAGGGCCAGGUGUUAUAGGGCCAGGUGUUAUAGGGCCAGGUGUUAUAGGAGUAGGGUGUUAUAGGGCCAGGCAUUAUAGGAGUAGGGUGUUAUAGGGCCAGGUGUUAUAGGAGUAGGGUGUUAUAGGAGUAGGGUGUUAUAGGGCCAGGUGUUAUAGGGAGUAGGGUGUUAUAGGAGUAGGAUGUUAUAGCAGUAUGAUGUAAUAGGAGUAUGAUGUUAUAGGGCCAGGUGUUAUAGGAGUAGGGUGUUAUAGGGCCAGGUGUUAUAGGGAGUAGGGUGUUAUAGGGCCAGGUGUUAUAGGAGUAGGGUGUUAUAGGGCCAGGUAUUAUAGGAGUAGGGUGUUAUAGGGCCAGGUGUUAUAGGGCCUGGUGUUAUAGGGCCAGGUGUUAUAGGAGUAGGGUGUUAUAGGGCCAGGUGUUAUAGGAGUAGGGUGUUAUAGGGCCAGGUAUUAUAGGAGUAGGGUGUUAUAGGACCAGGUGUAAUAGGAGUAGGGUGUUAUAGGACCAGGUGUUAUAGGGCCAGGUGUUAUAGGAGUAGGGUGUUCUAGGGCCAGGUAUUAUAGGAGUAGGGUGUUAUAGGGAGUAGGGUGUUAUAGGAGUAGGGUGUUAUAGGAGUAGGGUGUUAUAGGGCCAGGUGUUAUAGGAGUAGGGUGUUAUAGGGCCAGGUGUUAUAGGAGUAGGGUGUUAUAGGGCCAGGUGUUAUAGGAGUAGGGUGUUAUAGGAGUAGGGUGUUAUAGGAGUAGGAUGUUAUAGGGCCAGGUGUUAUAGGAGUAGGAUGUUAUAGGGCCAGGUGUUAUAGGGCCAGGUAUUAUAGGAGUAGGGUGUUAUAGGGCCAGGUGUUAUAGGACCAGGUGUUAUAGGGCCAGGUGUUAUAGGAGUAGGGUGUUAUAGGGCCAGGUGUUAUAGGGCCAGGUGUUAUAGGGAGUAGGGUGUUAUAGGGAGUAGGGUGUUAUAGGGCCAGGUAUUAUAGGAGUAGGGUGUUAUAGGGAGUAGGGUGUUAUAGGACCAGGUGUUAUAGGACCAGGUGUUAUAGGGCCAGGUGUUAUAGGAGUAGGGUGUUAUAGGGCCAGGUGUUAUAGGAGUAGGGUGUUCUAGGGCCAGGUGUUAUAGGGCCAGGUGUUAUAGGGCCAGGUGUUAUAGGGAGUAGGGUGUUAUAGGGAGUAGGGUGUUAUAGGGCCAGGUAUUAUAGGAGUAGGGUGUUAUAGGGCCAGGUGUUAUAGGAGUAGGGUGUUAUAGGGCCAGGUAUUAUAGGAGUAGGGUGUUAUAGGGCCAGGUGUUAUAGGAGUAGGGUGUUAUAGGGCCAGGUAUUAUAGGAGUAGGGUGUUAUAGGAGUAGGGUGUUAUAGGAGUAGGGUGUUAUAGGAGUAGGGUGUUAUAGGAGUAGGGUGUUAUAGGGCCAGGUGUUAUAGGAGUAGGGUGUUAUAGGGCCAGGUAUUAUAGGAGUAGGGUGUUAUAGGAGUAGGGUGUUAUAGGAGUAGGGUGUUAUAGGGCCAGGUAUUAUAGGAGUAGGGUGUUAUAGGAGUAGGGUGUUAUAGGGCCAGGUAUUAUAGGAGUAGGGUGUUAUAGGAGUAGGGUGUUAUAGGAGUAGGGUGUUAUAGGGCCAGGUAUUAUAGGAGUACGGUGUUAUAGGAGUAGGGUGUUAUAGGAGUAGGGUGUUAUAGGAGUAGGGUGUUAUAGGAGUAGGGUGUUAUAGGAGUAGGGUGUUAUAGGAGUAGGGUGUUAUAGGGCCACGUGUUAUAGGAAUACAUUUUACAGCAUUAGAUAUAAAUUUAUGGACUGAGUUUGAAAAUUAUUUUUAAAAUCUUUGGACAUUUUUUAGGAGCUGAAUGAAAGUACAUGAUGGAGUUACAAGAUGGAGAUCGAUAAAUACACAGAGACAUGUUCUAAUACGACAUAUAAUUCAGAUAUAUCAAUAUAAUUCAGUCCAUUUGUCAUCAACAAACUGUAUGUGGUCGACACAGGCCAUCCACAGAGCUGAGAAUCUACAACAGCCCAAACUUCUGGAUUUAGUAAACAGAGUCUGUUGCCGGGAGACUACUGGCCAUAGGCCAUCUUUUGUAUUGUAGUAUUUGGUGUAAUUUCCCUCCUCUGUCCCUUUAGUUUUGUAUGCUGGAGAUGUGAAAGGAAUGUGUUAAGUCUUUUUUUUAGCGGGCAUAUGGCACAACUAUUACAGUCUAGUUAGAGUUUGUGCCCAUAAGAUUCAGAGACACUUAUAAACAGGGUCUAUAUGAAUCAACAACAUGGUGUCACGUCACGAUAGAAACACACACACACACACACACACAGUAUAAACACACAGUACAAGUAGUAGUACACAGACAUCAUUACAAUGGCUUCAUCAUAUUUCUCCUUGUCUUUUCUUUGCGUAUACACUUGUUAGCAUACAGUUGAUGAGAAGGGUUUAGACACAUAGGUAGAUAGUUUUGUUAAGCUAUGUUUUUUCUUUGCAGAAAACAAACGUUAUCAUGUUUUUUUUGCAGUUGAAACAAUAUGGCUUUACCUAGUGAAAUCCCUAUCAGACUUUUUUUUUUAAAUUACAAAUAAUCUACUCAUAACCUAUGAUUAUUGAAAUGUUUUUGUUCAUUUUUCGAAUAUAUCAAUCUUCAAUGUCAUUUAGCCAUCUACGUUAUUAGAAAGAUAUGGGCAUUUCUUACAAUAAAACUUCACAGGAUUUGGUCUUUGGAAAGUGAAACCCAAAAUGACAGCAGUAUUCAUACAACUGUAUGUUGCCAGCCUAUUCCUACUGCUAUCAACAAGACCAAAUCUGGACCACUUCCUUAGUUCUGGACCACUUCCUUAGUUCUGGACCACUUCCUUAGUUCUGGACCACUUCCUUACUUCUGGACCACUUCCUUAGUUCUGGACCACUUCCUUACUUCUGGACCACUUCCUUACUUCUGGACUAAGGACCACUUCUUUACUUCUGGACUAAGGACCACUUCCUUAGUUCUGGACCACUUCCUUAGUUCUGGACCACUUCCUUACUUCUGGACCACUUCCUUAGUUCUGGACCACUUCCUUACUUCUGGACCACUUCCUUAGUUCUGGACCACUUCCUUACUUCUGGACCACUUCCUUAGUUCUGGACCACUUCCUUAGUUCUGGACCACUUCCUUAGUUCUGGACCACUUCCUUACUUCUGGACCACUUCCUUAGUUCUGGACCACUUCCUUACUUCUGGACCACUUCCUUAGUUCUGGACCACUUCCUUAGUUCUGGACCACUUCCUUACUUCUGGACCACUUCCUUACUUCUGGAAAGUUUCCUUAUUUACUAGUUACAAAAUAAAUUAUCGUUUUUUCCCCAGUAUCUUUGGAUUUGAUAUUAAUGAAUUUAAACAGUAAUUAGUUAAGCAUGUACUUUGUGUAAAACAGACAUGUGGUAGUAGUAGUGAAAUAAUGACAUAGGCAGUAUUGGCUUCCUUCAAUGUAAUGCAGUUCUGAUUAUUUCCUUGUCUUUGGCAUUAACCACCAACUGCUAAAUAUGAUGUUGACUAAAUCAUUUUUAUAGAACUGUGCUUGUUUUUCUUCUUCUCUACAUUGAAUAUGAAUCGUUUGUACAGUAUUCUAUGGAUAAUCUGAGUGUAUAAUGUUGAAUAUGAAUCGUGUGUACAGUAUUCUCUGGAUAAUCUGAGUGUAUAAUGUUGAAUAUGAAUUGUGUGUACAGUAUUCUCUGGAUAAUCUGAGUGUAUAAUGUUGAAUAUGAAUCGUGUGUACAGUAUUCUCUGGAUAAUCUGAGUGUAUAAUGUUGAAUAUGAAUUGUGUGUACAGUAUUCUCUGGAUAAUCUGAGUGUAUAAUGUUGAAUAUGAAUCGUGUGUACAGUAUUCUAUGGAUAAUCUGUGUAUAAUGUUGAAUAUGAAUCGUGUGUACAGUAUUCUCUGGAUAAUCUGAGUGUAUAAUGUUGAAUAUGAAUCGUGUGUACAGUAUUCUAUGGAUAAUCUGUGUAUAAUGUUGAAUAUGAAUCGUGUGUACAGUAUUCUAUGGAUCAUCUGAGUGUAUAAUGUUGAAUAUGAAUCGUGUGUACAGUAUUCUAUGGAUAAUCUGAGUGUAUAAUGUUGAAUAUGAAUCGUGUGUACAGUAUUCUAUGGAUAAUCUGAGUGUAUAAUGUUGAAUAUGAAUCGUGUGUACAGUAUUCUCUGGAUAAUCUGAGUGUAUAAUGUUGAAUAUGAAUCGUGUGUACAGUAUUCUAUGGAUAAUCUGAGUGUAUAAUGUUGAAUAUGAAUCGUGUGUACAGUAUUCUAUGGAUAAUCUGAGUGUAUAAUGUUGAAUAUGAAUCGUGUGUACAGUAUUCUCUGGAUAAUCUGAGUGUAUAAUGUUGAAUAUGAAUCGUGUGUAUUCUAUGGAUAAUCUGAGUGUAUAAUGUUGAAUAUGAAUCGUGUGUAUUCUCUGGAAAAUCUGAGUGUAUAAUGUUGAAUAUGAAUCGUGUGUAUUCUAUGGAUAAUCUGAGUGUAUAAUGUUGAAUAUGAAUCGUGUGUAUUCUCUGGAAAAUCUGAGUGUAUAAUGUUGAAUAUGAAUCGUGUGUAUUCUAUGGAUAAUCUGAGUGUAUAAUGUUGAAUAUGAAUCGUGUGUAUUCUAUGGAUAAUCUGAGUGUAUAAUGUUGAAUAUGAAUCGUGUGUAUUCUCUGGAUAAUCUGCAGUCUUGUCUGUCAGGCUGAUAAUUAGAGAUGUUUUAUAUUAGUCGGGUUUUAAAAAGGGAAAUCAAAUAUUCCAGAUUACCUUAGUGUUUCAUAUCAUAAGAGACCAGAUCUAUACAUAGAGUCAGACUAACAUUAAAUACGUACGUCAAUAAUGUGGCCGGUUUACUUCCUUUUAAGACGAACACCACAUUAUAAAGUUAAAUUACGUCGUCUAACGACUUCAACGAGACCCUCAUUAACAGUUCCCCUGUUGGAGGAAGGUCCUACGAAGACACAGUCUAAACUAACUAAACUGCUGAUCUCAAAAAGACCGAGAAUAGAAUAUCCCCUUCCCAUACAGUUACAGUAGCUUACUUACUAUAAAAAUAGAAAAAGCCAGUGAAUUUUAAAAAAAGCGCUCCAUCUUCAGAUACGUGUUGGCAGUGCUUUUCAACCACAUCAGCAGGAAUUGCCCAUUGAAGUGUCUGUCCAUUAGUACGGUGGAUUGAACCCUGCUCUCUAAUGAAUGGCUGGACAGAAACUCCUUACCCCAGUUAAUACCAAUGGCCAACCAAUCCAAAUGCAUCUACCUGGUGCGGUGGAUCGAUCUACCAAUGUUGGAAUGUCAGAUAAGUGGAUAAUUAUUUUUUAUAUAUACACUUAGUCGGUGGUUGAGAGACCGACCAAAAGCAGUGGGGCGGUAUAUACCCACAUUGUGUCUAGUCUAGAAAACAACAAAUAUUUCUGUAAAGGCAGUGAAUAGCCACCUCACACAGUUUGGCAAGAACCCUUCCACCUCUCCUACCCCCC